UCCGAAUUCGCUAUUAUUGGUAAUUUCCAUUUUUUUAAACUCUCAAAAUCCCUCCAAGCAAUUAAAAAGGGGUUUAGGAAUAUGAAUGAAAGAGACCACAAAGGAUGAUUCUUGGACAAAUAGCUAGUCGCCGAAGAACAGGACAAUCCGAAUCAAUAAAGAAAACAUGCAUGGAUGCAAUUUGAUCAAUUUAAAAGUUUAUCAAUUUGUGAAACUUACGUGUAAGUUCCGUCGGCCAGCUCGAUCAACGCCGCAACGGCGGCACGCCGGCGGGAAUCAACUUCAGAACCAACCAUAUCAACCAAUACCGGGAUAACUCCAAGCUCGGCGAUCAGUUUCCUCGUCUUCACAUCCUCCUUAGCAAACCUAGCAAUAUCAACAGCCGCCGAUUCCUUCUCUUCCCAGCUCUUCCCGAAAUG
rnacentral:lncRNA from 1 species